UUGAGCUUGGAACCAUGCCCCGGACUUGGAUUCAAACCUUCUCCGUCUACUCCAAACUCCCAAACCCCACAAAAUGGCACUUUUCACUCUCUCAAAGAAGCUCCCGUUCCCAAGAAUCAAUCCUCAAUUCUUCCUCACCCUUCUCCUCCGCCCCGUUUCCUCACAUUCACUUCAAACUCUCUCUCUCACAUUUCCUCGAACACCUCUAGACAAGCCGCGUUUCUCAGUUCUCCGUCACCUCUCUACCCAAACACUCUACGACCCAUUUGAUUUGAUCCGUUGCAAAGAUGAUGUCUGUGAUCCACUCGAAUCGGGUCUUCCCGAAUUGCUCAAACGGCUUGAGGGUUUGUCCUCGGAAGCCGAGGUCAUGGCUGUUCUUGAUGGGUCCGGAGUGGAGCCGAACCAGGAGUUGGUUUAUUGGGCGAUUUGGGGGUUGAGAGAGGAUUGGAGAUUGGCGUAUUGGGUGUUCAAUUGGGGUGAAAAAUGGGGUUGUAAUAGUGAGAGGACUCGUGGGUUGGUGAUAUGGAUACUGGGGAAUUGUAAAAAGUUCGGUGUUGCUUGGUGUUUGAUUCGUGAGUUGCAUCGGUCUUCGGUGGAUACUCGCCGGGCAAUGCUCAUCAUGAUUGAUCGAUAUACUGCUGCAAAUGAUCCAUGCAAAGCCAUUAAAACAUUCCACAUUAUGGAGAAGUUCAGACUAUCUCCAGAUCAGGAAGCAUUCUACACACUGCUGACUGCUCUAUGUAAACAUGGGAAUGUUGAAGAUGCUGAAGAGCUCAUGUUUCAAAAUAAGAAGCUCUUUCCUUUGGAGACUGAGGGCUUCAAUAUAAUUCUUAAUGGAUGGUCUAAUGUAUCUCUUGAUAUAUUUGAAGCCAAGAGAAUUUGGAGAGAAAUGUCAAAAUGCUGUAUUGUUCCUAAUGCAACUACUUAUACUCUUAUGAUUUCCUGCUUCUCAAAAUUUGGAAAUCUUUUUGACUCACUGAGAUUGUUUGAUGAUAUGAAAAAAAGGGGUUGGAUCCCUGGCCUGGAGGUUUACAAUUCUUUGAUAUAUGUACUAACUCAUGAAAAUUGCUUGACGGAAGCUCUCAAAAUCCUGGGAAAAAUCAAAGAGAUGGGCUUGCAACUGGAUUCUGCCUCUUACAACUGCAUGAUACGUCCUCUAUGUAAAGCAAAAAAACUAGAAGAGGCAAGAACUAUAUUGGCUGCUAUGAUAGGGGAAAAUCUAGGUCCAACUACUGAAACUUACCAUGCAUUUCUUGAGGGUGCUAGCUACGAAGAAACUUUUGAAGUGCUUAAAAAUUUGAGAACAGCUGGUUUUGGUCCUAAUGGUGAUACGUUUCUUCUUAUUCUCGAUAACUUAUUCAAGUUAGAUCAACCUGAGAAUGCAUUGAAGAUUUGGGUAGAAAUGAAACAGUUUGAUGUAGUGCCUGGUUCUGAACAUUACAAGGUACUGAUAGAAGGCUUGACAAAAUUUGGCUGGUUAGUUAAGGCAAGAGAAUUGUAUGCUGAGAUGAGAUCAAAAGGAUUUUUGGAUGAUCCAAAGCUUAAGAAGCUUUUGAAGGAUCCAGUAGAAGGCGAUAGUGGUGAGAGAGAAGGGUGGAUGAGGCAAGGCAAGACAGAUGUGAGAUUACAUCAUGGGAAAAGCAGUAUGAUGAGAUGGAAAAGACUGGGAAAUCAAUCAAGAAAAAGGCCUCCACUUGUAAAAUCUAAUUUGAAGCUCUGACUAAACAUAAAACCCAUAAGCUCGGUGAAAAGGUCUGUGCCUGGUAAGAAUUGCUGGUCAUGCUAAUCAUGAGAAACUAGUAUCAUAUCUAUAUUGGGGAAACCCCUGAAAGACCUGCAGCUGCAUAAGGUUUAUACUCAGGAAUCUUGAGGCCAGUUGGUUUCGUGGCCUGUUUAAGCAGAAUGAAUUUGGUGUCGCUUUAUGGGAGCAAUUUUGAUCUUUUGCAUAUUGCUACUAUCUUUAUGAGGAAAGUUUCAUUGGAAAUCUUCAAAUUUACAGAUUAGUGCUUUCAUCAGUCAUUGCCAUUAUUCCUGGUUGGAACAGAAGAACAUUUCUCAUCUCCCCAUCCUGAGAGUGUGAUGAUGGUGAGCCCAGAAGGCUGAUGAGGCUGAAGCCCUGGAUCUCUGGAAUACCCUGAUCAUGUUCAAAAUGGAGGAUGCUUUAAGUAGGGAAGAAAUAUGCCCAGGUCUGCAAAACCAACCUUAUGCAAUCUGCAGCAGGGAAUCAAUCAGAUCAAUUUUGAAAUUGAAGAGUUGUUGAAAGAAUCUGUACAAGACUGGUGAUAAGAUUGAAGACAACACAUGAUCAACCCGUAUAUCUAUAGACUCUGGGCCCAAAAGGCAUGUACAAAAGAAUAUGCUUUAUUCUUUAGGGAGCACAUUCAGAGGCCAAGAGGCCAAGAGUUAUUUUUUAUUUUUAAAUAAAAAUAAAAUAGAAUUUGUUCAUUACUGAUAA